CGGGGUCACACCCGAUCCCAUUCCGAACUCGGAAGUUAAGCCCGGACGCGCCUAUGGUACUGCACGGGCAGCUGUGUGGGAGAGUAGGUAGAUGCCAGGG
rnacentral:rRNA from 1 species